CAACAUUGUUCUCCGACUAAAUCCAAAACUCAGCAUUGUGCCAACUACUAGGAAGAAAAUUAACUCUAUUCCAGCUGAAACCAGGAUAACAGUGGUGUUCACGACUAAAUCUUGCAGCCAGCACAUGGAUUAAUUCAAGGUGAAAUCUUUAGCAGUACAAAAUACAGACUGUAUUUGCAGCUAGAUAUGUCUAAAGAGUAAUAUGAAAAAUAUUUUUAGCUCCCACUCAUCUUUGCUGAGGAAGCCGCAGGAAACUUGCUGAAUCUGCAGCUCCAGGAUAACAGCUUUGCAGCUUGGCAUUCAUAUAUUCUAGGACUAGCCAGGACCAGAGAAAAAGCAAAUGAGAGCUUCCUUCAGAGAUGAUGAACACUUGUGCCUUUCUGCAGGAGAAUGGUCAGGAAUGCCCGGAAUUCAAAAGAUGAGACAUCUAUGGCAGCAAGAGCCUGGGAAGCAAACAAACUGUGCUUCACAUCACUCCAGUAAUUCAGUAUUCACAGCAGACUGAGAUCCAGCAAUUGAGCUGAGCUGAACUGACUGAUGUCCUAUGCUGUGCCUGAAGCAAGAGGUUGCAUGAACAGUUCCUCAUCAACCCUGGGACCAACCCAUGUGUGAGAUAAGGACCUCCAGGGAUGCACGAUCUUUCCUCCCUCCCUGCUGAACAUAUCUUUUUCUCAGAGAAAACAAGCAGAUGAACUUGUCUGA